rnacentral:rRNA from 1 species
GAUGAACGCUGGCGGCGUGCUUAACACAUGCAAGUCGAACGAUGAAGCCCAGCUUGCUGGGUGGAUUAGUGGCGAACGGGUGAGUAACACGUGAGUAACCUGCCCUUAACUCUGGGAUAAGCCUGGGAAACUGGGUCUAAUACCGGAUAGGAGCGUCCACCGCAUGGUGGGUGUUGGAAAGAUUUAUCGGUUUUGGAUGGACUCGCGGCCUAUCAGCUUGUUGGUGGGGUAAUGGCUCACCAAGGCGACGACGGGUAGCCGGCCUGAGAGGGUGACCGGCCACACUGGGACUGAGACACGGCCCAGACUCCUACGGGAGGCAGCAGUGGGGAAUAUUGCACAAUGGGCGCAAGCCUGAUGCAGCGACGCCGCGUGAGGGAUGACGGCCUUCGGGUUGUAAACCUCUUUCAGUAGGGAAGAAGCGAAAGUGACGGUAACUGCAGAAGAAGCACCGGCUAACUACGUG